rnacentral:rRNA from 1 species
CCUAAGGCUAAAUACUCUCUAGUGACCGAUAGUGAACCAGUACCGUGAGGGAAAGGUGAAAAGCACCCCGGAAGGGGAGUGAAAUAGAACCUGAAACCGUGUGCUUACAAGUAGUCAGAGCCCGUUAAUGGGUGAUGGCGUGCCUUUUGUAGAAUGAACCGGCGAGUUACGAUUUGAUGCAAGGUUAAGCAGUAAAUGUGGAGCCGUAGCGAAAGCGAGUCUGAAUAGGGCGUUUAGUAUUUGGUCGUAGACCCGAAACCAGGUGAUCUACCCUUGGUCAGGUUGAAGUUCAGGUAACACUGAAUGGAGGACCGAACCGACUUACGUUGAAAAGUGAGCGGAUGAACUGAGGGUAGCGGAGAAAUUCCAAUCGAACCUGGAGAUAGCUGGUUCUCUCCGAAAUAGCUUUAGGGCUAGCCUCAAGUGAUGAUUAUUGGAGGUAGAGCACUGUUUGGACGAGGGGCCCCUCUCGGGUUACCGAAUUCAGACAAACUCCGAAUGCCAAUUAAUUUAACUUGGGAGUCAGAACAUGGGUGAUAAGGUCCGUGUUCGAAAGGGAAACAGCCCAGACCACCAGCUAAGGUCCCAAAAUAUAUGUUAAGUGGAAAAGGAUGUGGCGUUGCCCAGACAACUAGGAUGUUGGCUUAGAAGCAGCCAUCAUUUAAAGAGUGCGUAAUAGCUCACUAGUCGAGUGACACUGCGCCGAAAAUGUACCGGGGCUAAACAUAUUACCGAAGCUGUGGAUUGUCCUUUGGACAAUGGUAGGAGAGCGUUCUAAGGGCGUUGAA